rnacentral:rRNA from 1 species
UACACUCCUGCGGGAGGCAGCAGUGGGGAAUUUUGGACAAUGGGCGAAAGCCUGAUCCAGCCAUGCCGCGUGCAGGAUGAAGGCCUUCGGGUUGUAAACUGCUUUUGUACGGAACGAAACGGCCUUUUCUAAUAAAGAGGGCUAAUGACGGUACCGUAAGAAUAAGCACCGGCUAACUACGUGCCAGCAGCCGCGGUAAUACGUAGGGUGCAAGCGUUAAUCGGAAUUACUGGGCGUAAAGCGUGCGCAGGCGGUUAUGUAAGACAGUUGUGAAAUCCCCGGGCUCAACCUGGGAACUGCAUCUGUGACUGCAUAGCUAGAGUACGGUAGAGGGGGAUGGAAUUCCGCGUGUAGCAGUGAAAUGCGUAGAUAUGCGGAGGAACACCGAUGGCGAAGGCAAUCCCCUGGACCUGUACUGACGCUCAUGCACGAAAGCGUGGGGAGCAAACAGGAUUAGAUACCCUGGUAGUCCC